rnacentral:lncRNA from 1 species
GCUGACGGCAAUGAAGGGGAGGGACUUUAAAGGGGACCGUCAGAGGAGUUCUCAGUGCGCUGGGUCCCACAUCUCCUCCUGGGGGCCUGGGAGCCCGCUCCUCAUCUCCAGGCUUUGGGAGAAGGACUUUCAUGGGGCAGCUUAGAGAGCUCACUCUGUCUCCCCUGCAGUAAAUGGCACUUGGGGACUGCUGCCCCCUUCCCACUGCGGGAGCAAAGGCAAGGUGGCUGCACUUCCAGAGCUCUCCUGGACAAAGGACACCAUAAAAUGGGGCACGUGCCAGGGCUGCUGUGGGACUUUGUCAGAUCCUGUCUGCAGGGCAGCCUGGAGAGGAGAAGCGGAAGGUCCUUCAGCGCUGCAGAGCAGUAACAACCAGCCCGAGUGAGCUGCAGUUGAGAAGCCCCUAGUGAUGGAGAUCAUUGAAGAUUAAGAAAAUGUCUGGAGGAGAGAAGAGUCAGCUGUACACGUCAGUGAGGCCCAGAAAGCAGGGAACCAACCAAAGGAGGGUCCAGAGACUGUGCUUCUGGCAUGACCUUAGGACCGAGGCAUGAGGAGACGGGAAGGCACAGCCUCAGCACACAGCUGCCCAGGGAUCGCCAAGGUCCUGACCCCACACCCGUCUCUGGACCAGAGUCCGGACCCCUGACCCGAUCCCACACCCCGCACCCCACUCUGGGCGAUCACCCAGGCUCACCCACUGCGCUGAGCCAUGCUGAGCCCCAGCAAUUGUGAACUUCUGAUCCUGGGGCGAUCUCUUCUGGCUCCCAAGGUAUGAAAAGCAAGCCAAUUAGCUACGGGAUGGAAAACAGGUUUUUCUGCCAGAGAGAGUUAUUUCCAGUAGAUUCAUAUGUGGCUUGCUCGUGCUUCUGCUCCUCUCUCUAAUCAGCUGGGUUCUGCUGCAGAGGCACUGGCCAAGUAUUAUUUGAAUGGAUGUGACAUUAACAUUUCCCCAUGUCAAUAAAAAUGCUCCAAAAGCAGUAUUUUUCGUAGGUGCAAAAUAUUACAUUGUCUGAUUAUAUCAUAAUUGACCUAACCAUUUCC